rnacentral:lncRNA from 1 species
GCCUUUUGAGUCUUCAUUUCAGCUAGCAAUGAGCUCACCUCGACUCCGUCACCCCUCGAUUGGCUUGAUUCAGACAAUGUUUGAUUUCUUUCAAAGAGGUCAACUAUCAUGUCCCUCACAUGAUUUGGUAUCUUUGGAUCCACCCACAUGAAGAAAUUGCAGCAACUUGGACUAUCAAACUUAGCACAUCCAUGGAACCUUCUUCCUGCAUUUUUCUUUGCCAUAAGAAUUGGCGAUUGAAGGCCACAAUAACAUGUUGGCUCCGAGUUGACCUCAUUAGGAGUUACGCUACUUGAUGCAGAUGUUGC